rnacentral:rRNA from 1 species
UAACGCGUGGGCAACCUGCCCCAUGCCGGGGGAUACCGCCUGGAAACAGGCGCUAAUACCGCAUAAGCGCAUACAGCCGCAUGGCAGUAUGCGGAAAGCUCCGGCGGCAUGGGAUGGGCCCGCGCCCGAUUAGCCAGUUGGCGGGGUAACGGCCCACCAAAGCGACGAUCGGUAGCCGGCCUGAGAGGGCGGACGGCCACAUUGGGACUGAGACACGGCCCAAACUCCUACGGGAGGCAGCAGUGGGGAAUAUUGCACAAUGGGGGAAACCCUGAUGCAGCAACGCCGCGUGGGUGAAGGAGCGUUUCGGCGCGUAAAGCCCUGUCAGCGGGGAAGAAGAAAGACGGUACCCGACCAAGAAGCCCCGGCUAACUACGUGCCAGCAGCCGCGGUAAUACGUAGGGGGCGAGCGUUAUCCGGAAUUACUGGGUGUAAAGGGAGCGUAGACGGCGAGGUAAGCCUGAAGUGGAAACCCGCGGCCCAACCG